CUGUGGCAAGCAGCACCAUCCAUGCCCAGCCCCGGUCCUGGGGCUUGGCAGCUCCCCAUGCUCCUCCUUGGGACAUGAUGGCUGCUUUCUCCUCCCAGGCCGGCCUGCUGGGGAAGCGACUGCAGCUACCAUGCAACCCUCGGCCCAGGGAACGGACCUACAGAGAGAAGGGCUACAGGAUCCUGGCAACAGAUUACUUGAGAAACGCCUGCCUUCCCCUUUUAUAUUGCACAAGACUGCGAGCACAGCCAGGUACAGAAUGGGACCACACCUCCUGAGGUAUGAAUUGGCCUUACCUAGUUCCCACCCUUAUUUUCCCUUUCACCUGCUUUCAUCAUAUGGAGUCCCCUUGCUGGCAAUUGCUAAGGUCACCAAGUCCUCACACUGAGAGGAGAACGAAAAACUCUGCAAAUGCCAAGAAAAAUAGAAAUGCAUAAAGCUCGCAUGGUGCAGCAGGGCUCGGUGUGAACCUGUUAUGACAACUGCUCCUGUGUAUAGUUCAAAGUGCUAGUGCUGAAAAAACAUUUCAAAAGCCAUUAAUUAAUCAGGAUCCAGCGAUCUCAGAUAUGCUUUUGCUUUACCUUGGUAGAGCUGCUUCUGAGAGAUCCCAGGUUUGAUUUCUUCAAGACCAGCAGCAUGAAAUAUAUAGCAAUAGCACUCCCCAUCCUCUCCACAUGAAUAAACACACAUAAAAAAAAAUCUUUGGCAGCUGGAUGAGCUCAAGAAAAGUGCCCUUAAGGUCACUGCACAGUGCAAUAUUUGUUUAGUACUCAAAUAAUGCCUUUCCCCUAAAACAAUAGCCACAACUGAAUGUUGCGUGCAGCCUUAAAAAUGAAUAAUAGUUUGUCCUUGCUCAUUAUUUCAAAUUUGCCAUGGUGGCAGGCUUACAAGAGUAAGUUUCGUACCUCGGGCUGAAGCGAAGGGCCAGCAGCGCGCGGUUGUGUGCGCAGCACGGGCGGAUCAUCCCCUGCGUGCGCAGCCCGGCCAGCUCAUUGCCCACGGUUAGAUACUUCUGCUUCAGUAGCGACUAAAAAGCUUUGAUGAAGUCUUCUGCAAUAUUAACCCGGGCAUCACUUCUGUAAACAGGGCUCUUUUGCCGGCUGGCUCACAGCCAGAAAAAAAAAAAGGGGGGGGGGCUGCAAGCUGAGGGGGCCCGUGGGAAGGGGCUCUAACAUGCAAAUCACGGUGGUGGUGCUCAGCACACUUUAAUCCUUUGUCCACUUUAGCUGGGUGCAGAUAAUGCGACUAAUUCAAGUGCUUGUCUCUCUGGUGUGAAUUAGCUGGAUGACAGCCUAAAACCUCUCCCCGGCAACAGCAAACCUGAAAAAAAGGCAGAAGCACAGCUCCUCUCUGUUCCCAGCUGCCCUGUCCAACACUUGAGCUUGUCCAGCAGAAGAUUUCUGGAGCCCUGGCUCCCCUUGUGUGUCCUUGUGCUCAUCGGGGUGGGCUGUCCCAGGGGGCCACACGCUUGCUGUGGCUUUCAUCCAGCUAUGGGACACCUUCUCCCCUCGGCAGCCUGACCUGCAGGAUCUCCUGGGCUUUUUGCUGCAAGAGCCCCGGAGAUGCGCCGCCAAGGGCCACGUGGCCUCCUCACCCCCUUCUCCCUGCACACAAGUGAAGGAACGGGUUUGUUCCAGCCUAGCUCGGCCGGCUGUGCCCGUGAACAGCAGCAGCAGCUCUGCAAAACUGCCUUUUAACCCUUCCCAGGGUAGCUGGACAGGACAGGCAGGGCAAAUGCAUUGUGCUGCUGCUCACUUUGGUGCUGCCUUCUCAGCCUGCUCCCGGUGUUGAGCAUCAAUCACGUUGAAGAUCAGGGCCAACAAAAAUGCGGAGUCAGAUCCUCACAAGCACGUGCUCGUCUCGUGCUAAUCGUGUCAGGAUUUGGAUUGAAGUUUGCAGCAAAAGACACACCUGGGUGCCUACUGCAAACAGCGCACGGGGUAGGGAGCAGGCAAACCGGUGCAAAGGUGCUUCCUGUCCCAGUGUGUGAAGGGGAACGGGAGGAAAGUUUCCUGCUCAUGGCACGUUAGGUCUCUGCGUCCUGCUGUGGGGCUUAUGGCAUCAGCCCCAUCGUGGGGACAGGUGGGUGUCCCGAGCAGGACAAGGGGGAGCAAAGCACAUGGCUGGUUUCAGUUUCCGGUUGCUCUCUGCUAGUUGUUCUCUUAUUCAGGUCUGAAUUUUGUUUCUUCUUCCAGUGACCCCCAAGACACCGGGGUUCAAGCUUGGGUUUCCCAAGCUGUGUCACAGCAGUCCCAGCACCUGUUGGUUGUGGCAUUGCACCGGGAGUGCUUGCACAGUGCUUGUCUCCCACCUUCCACGCCUCGGUUUCCCUCAGCCGUGAUGGGGGACCAGCAGCUGCUGGGAUGAGGACACACAACAGGGCUGCUGGCAGCAAUUUCUGCUGAGACACCCAGGGCACGGGGCGUUCACCUCCUAGGAAGAGGUUUAUACUUAGUCUGCAAAUGACGAUGAUAUCUCUACAUCAGGCUCAGCAAGAGCUGGUGGCUGGUGGUACCUCUGCGGGGAGCAGAGCAGCACCCUUUUUGCCUAAAACCGCUCAGGAUGGGGACACAGCAGCAGGGUGCUGUGAGGAAAUCAGGACUCUGGCUGCUGGGGGAGGCUCAAAGCCCAGGGGAUGCCUGCGGCUCAGGAGCAGGGAGGGGAACUGGAGGAAAGUUUCUUGUUCACGGUACAUUAGGUCUCUGCAUCCUGCUGCGCGGCUUGCAGCAUCCUCCUGCCGCCUCACCUCAGCCCCGGUGUGAGCCGGGUGUGGAUUUUAUGAAUGUAAAACAGGCUGCAUGCACAGAGGUGAGGCAUUUACUGUAAACUGAGGGGGGGCGGUAAAAUUUUUAAGGGUCACUCAGUGUCUGUUGGGGGUAGGAAAGCAAAGCACUUGGUAAACACCUUUAUAAGUGACUUUUUAAGUACCUUUUCAUCCUUAGAUCCGGGCUUGCUUUGCAGUCCUCUCCCGGGCAGGCUGUGCUGUGUCCCAGGUGACUUUCCCAAGGUCACUCGGACAGCUACAAGCAGAGCCCCCAGCUUUAGCUCUGCUUUAGGCACUGGGCCCAGUGGUGCAGCCUGGCCCAGUGCUGUUGUCUGCGGGAUGUCACUUGUCAGCCAUCACUCACAGCCCUCAAGGGGCAGUGGAGGUGGCUGAGUUCACGCCCUGUGCACGUCCAUGUGCUGGUGUCACGGCUCUGCGAGCCCGUCCCAAACCCAGGAGUCUCAGCAGCAGUUUUGGGGCAGGCCAUGUGCUUGGAAACCGAAGUGCAAAACACCUCAGAGCUCCCAAAUUGCUUCUGAGGCUAGCUGAAUUUGUUCCAGGCACCAAGAUUAGCAGACUGACAGAUAGAAUCUCACAGAGGAAGUGCGUAUCUUCUUUCUUUUAUUUAAAGCAGUGGAAACUCGGUGACAUUUUGGCUGUUGGGCUGCAGAGUCGCUUGGGGCAAGGAGCUGGGCACGGAGCUGCUCCUACCCCAGCUUCAGUCCUGAUGUCUCCGUCCUGCUCCAGCAGGCUGUGGGAGCACCCAAAUUAAACCCCUGCUCCGAUCCCUUCCUCGAGCCCAGACAGACCCAGGGGAAACCAAGCUCUCCGAGCACCUGAAAACAGACUCCUGAGACCUGGGGCAGGGACAGGGGCUGAACAAUGCUGGCAAAUUCCCUUCAGACCAGCUCUGCUAGGACUGAGAAAAUGGGACAGUGCCAGAGCAGUGGGGAGCGCUGGUUUAGCACCACUUUCCUAAGCAGUUCCCAUAGCAUUGCUCCCUUGUCAUCCCCUUGCAAAGGGUAUCAGGGCCCUGACUGCACUAAUUGGUCUUAAUUAGUCUGACCAGACUCACCUGGAUCCUCCUCCCACACCUUCUCCACCCAGUUUGACUCCAAGUUGCAUUUAAGCCUGGCUCCUUACCUGGCUUAUCCUUUAGACAGAUGUCCCUGUGCUGUUCUUUGCUCUCCUGGCUUAAUCUCUGCAUUGUGUUCAUGAUUCACAAAGGAUGUAGGUGUUAACACCAGCGUUAACAAGAUGACUGUGGCCUGUUCUUGUGAAACCGUAAUGGAUACUUUUUCCUAGCUGUGCCUUGGAUCUAACGAAAAACACGGAUCCCUGCUGUUAAAGACAACUAAGC